GUGGGGAAUAUUGGACAAUGGGCGAAAGCCUGAUCCAGCAAUGCCGCGUGAGUGAUGAAGGCCUUCGGGUUGUAAAGCUCUUUUACCAGGGAUGAUAAUGACAGUACCUGGAGAAUAAGCUCCGGCUAACUCCGUGCCAGCAGCCGCGGUAAUACGGAGGGAGCUAGCGUUGUUCGGAAUUACUGGGCGUAAAGCGCACGUAGGCGGCGACUCAAGUCAGAGGUGAAAGCCCGGGGCUCAACCCCGGAACUGCCUUUGAAACUAGGUCGCUAGAAUCUUGGAGAGGUCAGUGGAAUUCCGAGUGUAGAGGUGAAAUUCGUAGAUAUUCGGAAGAACACCAGUGGCGAAGGCGACUGACUGGACAAGUAUUGACGCUGAGGUGCGAAAGCGUGGGGAGCAAACAGGAUUAGAUACCCUAGUAGUCC
rnacentral:rRNA from 1 species